CCUACGGGAGGCAGCAGUGGGGGAUAUUGCACAAUGGGGGAAACCCUGAUGCAGCGACGCCGCGUGGGUGAAGAAGCGCCUCGGCGCGUAAAGCCCUGUCAGCAGGGAAGAAAAUGACGGUACCUGAAGAAGAAGCCCCGGCUAACUCCGUGCCAGCAGCCGCGGUAAUACGGGGGGUGCAAGCGUUGUCCGGAAUCAUUGGGCGUAAAGAGUUCGUAGGUGGCACGUUAAGUCUGGUGUUAAAGGCGGAAGCUCAACUUCCGUAGGGCACUGGAUACUGGCGAGCUUGAAUGCGGUAGAGGUAAAGGGAAUUCCUGGUGUAGCGGUGAAAUGCGUAGAUAUCAGGAGGAACAUCGGUGGCGUAAGCGCUUUACUGGGCCGUAAUUGACACUGAGGAACGAAAGCCGGGGUAGCAAAUGGGAUUAGAUACCCGGGUAGUC
rnacentral:rRNA from 1 species